rnacentral:rRNA from 1 species
GUCUACUGCCAUGCCACCCUGAACAAGCCCUAUGUCUAAUCUCGGAAGCUAAACAGGGUUGGGCCUGGGUAGCACUUGGAUGGGAGAACACCUAGGAAAACCAGGUGCUGUAGGCA